GAGAAUCUUCCACAAUGGGCGAAAGCCUGAUGGAGCGACGCCGCGUGAAGGAUGAAGUCCCUCGGGACGUAAACUUCUUUUGUAGAGGAAGAAACCGGUUGACCGGUGUGACUGUACUCUAAGAAUAAGGGGUUGCUAAACUCGUGCCAGCAGCAGCGGUAAUACGAGUACCCCAAGCGUUAUCCGGAAUUACUGGGCAUAAAGGGUGCGUAGGCGGUCUUAGUUAGUCUUCUGUGAAAACUCCCGGCUUAACCGGGAAGACGCGGGAGAUACGGCUAGACUAGAGAGUGUGAGAGGUCUGUGGAACUCAUGGUGUAGGGGUGAAAUCCGUUGAUAUCAUGGGGAACGCC
rnacentral:rRNA from 1 species